rnacentral:rRNA from 1 species
GUGAACGCUGGCGGUAGGCCUAACACAUGCAAGUCGAACGGCAGCACAGUAAGAGCUUGCUCUUACGGGUGGCGAGUGGCGGACGGGUGAGGAAUACAUCGGAAUCUACUUUUUCGUGGGGGGUAACGUAGGGAAACUUACGCUAAUACCGCAUACGACCUACGGGUGAAAGCAGGGGAUCUUCGGACCUUACGCGAUUGAAUGAGCCGAUGUCGGAUUAGCUAGUUGGCGGGGUAAAGGCCCACCAAGGCGACGAUCCGUAGCUGGUCUGAGAGGAUGAUCAGCCACACUGGAACUGAGACACGGUCCAGACUCCUACGGGAGGCAGCAGUGGGGAAUAUUGGACAAUGGGCGCAAGCCUGAUCCAGCCAUACCGCGUGGGUGAAGAAGGCCUUCGGGUUGUAAAGCCCUUUUGUUGGGAAAGAAAAGCAGCAGGUUAAUACCCCGCUGUUCUGACGGUACCCAAAGAAUAAGCACCGGCUAACUUCGUG